ACUGCAGGAUGAGGUUUCUAAGCUGACAGUCAUGACCAUUAAAUACAUCAUUGGAACUUUUCCCUGUUCCACACUUGGAAUGGAAUUACAUUUUCUAAUUUGUUAUUGAUGUUUUAUUUCAGACUCACACAGCUCUGGGUCGAGCCAUCGAGACAUGGGAGCUGACGUCGGGACAGCAGUACCCAAACAAAAAUAGCCUAAUACAUGGGUACCUACAUACAUGGGUACCUACAUUUUGAAGCACUGACGGACCAUGAUUAUAACUUCUGCUGUGUCCUCUGUGGACAUCACCCUCCUGUGGUGGUCUGGAUCUCCAUAAAAGCUGUGUCUUCAGCUUGGCAGUCAGUGAACUAGAGGAUCCACCAGAGGGAUUUGAUGGGGAGGUGGACAUUGAUAAGUUCUGGGACUCUCUAUGUUUACAGAGGAUUGCACGUGGGUUUGUUCCAAGUGAUCAACAAAAUCCUUUUGCCGUUAAACCUUCAUACCACCACUGGGCCCCGUGGAUUGGACCUCACACCCGCAAAUCCAACAAGGUGCUUAAUACGGAGCAUAAAAAGGUCCAUACAACAAGGCACCCAAAAGAACAGACAGAGACUGAUGUAACAGAGGACAGGCUACUGGAUGAAGUAUCCAAUUUGUAGGUAAACGGGUCCAUGCCAUCCGAAAGCUCUGCAGGGAGUGCGGAAUAGAUUCACAAGGCUGAGAUAAGAGAAGAAAUGAAAACCCGAAGCAAAUUUGAUAAAAUCUUU